rnacentral:tRNA from 1 species
GCCGGUGUGGUGAAAUUGGUAUACACGACGGAUUCAAAAUCCGUUGCAGAAAUGCGUGGCGGUUCGAGUCCGCCCACCGGUACCA